GACAGAGGUGCCAAGCGUUAGGCGGAAUCACUGGGCUUAAAGCGUGUGUAGGCGGACCGUUAAGUGCCUUGUGAAAUCCCACGGCUCAACCGUGGAACUGCUGGGCAUACUGGCGGUCUUGAGUCACCCAGGGGUUGCCGGAACAAAUGGUGGAGCGGUGAAAUGCGUAGAUAUCAUUUGGAACGCCAAUAGCGAAGGCAGCUCGCUGGGACGUUACUGACACUGAGGCGCGAAAGCGUGGGGAGCGAACAGG
rnacentral:rRNA from 1 species